rnacentral:rRNA from 1 species
UUCCGAGUAAGUCCUCAGCCUGGGGUUCCGCCCGAAGAAGCAGGGGCUGCAGUAGCUGCCGAAUCUUCUACUGGUACAUGGACAACUGUUUGGACUGAUGGACUUACCAGUCUUGAUCGUUACAAAGGACGAUGCUAUCACAUCGAGCCUGUUGCUGGGGAAGACAGCCAAUGGAUCUGUUAUGUAGCUUAUCCAUUAGACCUAUUUGAAGAGGGUUCCGUUACUAACAUGUUUACUUCCAUUGUAGGUAACGUAUUUGGUUUCAAAGCCCUACGUGCUCUACGUUUGGAGGAUCUACGAAUUCCCCCUACUUAUUCAAAAACUUUCCAAGGCCCGCCUCAUGGUAUCCAAGUUGAAAGAGAUAAGUUGAACAAGUAUGGUCGUCCUUUAUUGGGAUGUACUAUUAAACCAAAAUUGGGAUUAUCCGCAAAAAAUUAUGGUAGAGCGUGUUAUGAGUGUCUACGUGGUGGAGUUGAUUUUACCAAAGAUGAUGAAAACGUAAACUCACAACCAUUUAUGCGCUGGAGAGACCGUUUUGUCUUUUGUGCCGAAGCUAUUUAUAAAUCACAGGCCGAAACCGGUGAAAUCAAGGGGCAUUACUUGAAUGCGACUGCGGGUACAUGUGAAGAAAUGAUUAAGAGAGCUGUAUUUGCAAGAGAAUUAGGGGUUCCUAUUGUAAUGCAUGACUACUUAACUGGGGGAUUCACCGCAAAUACUACUUUGGCUCAUUAUUGCCGCGACAAUGGCCUACUUCUUCACAUUCACCGUGCAAUGCAUGCAGUUAUUGAUAGACAGAAAAAUCAUGGUAUGCAUUUCCGUGUAUUAGCUAAAGCAUUGCGUAUGUCUGGGGGAGAUCAUAUCCACUCCGGUACAGUAGU